AUUGAACGCUGGCGGCAGGCCUAACACAUGCAAGUCGAGCGGUAGAGAGGUGCUUGCAUCUCUUGAGAGCGGCGGACGGGUGAGUAAUGCCUAGGAAUCUGCCUAGUGGUGGGGGGAUAACGUUCGGAAACGGACGCUAAUACCGCAUACGUCCUACGGGAGAAAGCGGGGGAUCUUCGGACCUCGCGCCAUUAGAUGAGCCUAGGUCGGAUUAGCUAGUUGGUGAGGUAAUGGCUCACCAAGGCGACGAUCCGUAACUGGUCUGAGAGGAUGAUCAGUCACACUGGAACUGAGACACGGUCCAGACUCCUACGGGAGGCAGCAGGUGGGGAAUAUUGGACAAUGGGCGAAAGCCUGAUCCAGCCAUGCCGCGUGUGUGAAGAAGGUC
rnacentral:rRNA from 1 species